GGGGGAGUAGCCCAGUUGGUUAGAGGCGCCGAGCUUAUACCUCGGAAGUCGGAGGUUCGAGUCCUCCCUCCCCUACCA
rnacentral:tRNA from 1 species